UUCGCCGCGUCGAACAAGAGGCCGCAGUGGAGCAUUUGCUCCGGUUCCUGGGCUCCUCGCUGCCUCCGCCACGCAGCCCGCCCCGGUGGGGCCUCUGCUCCGCUCCGCCCGGACAGCUAGAUCCGUGCCCUGGCCUCCUCCCCCACGCACCUCCUCGCCGUCCCCGUCCCCAUCGUCUCCGUGCUCUCCAACCCGGUCGCCUCUGCCAGGUCCGGCCGCCGUGCCGUUCACUAUGCCGCCUCCCGCUACUACACCUCUCGCUUCUCUCGCUUACCUAUCCUGCUCCAUGGCCUCGGCCAAACCGGCUGUUGUCGUACCUCCACCUCACCAUUGACGCCAACAUCGUCUGCAUCGCCGCGUCUUCUGCCGAGCCGGCACUCUCGGCUGCCUUCCUUCUGCGUCCCGUCCCCGCUCCUCUCCACGCCCCUCCCAGGCGCAGCCGUCUCGGCCUCGCCCGGGCCCUCCCCUCACCAUGCCUCCUUCCUCCCGCGCCCGCGCGCUCUCCACCGCCGUGUUCGCCCCGGACCCUGCGUCUUCUGCCGCGUCGCGCCUCUACCGGAUGUGGGACGAGUUCGCACGGCUCGUGCGCCUGCACGAAAACUAAAUUGCUCUGCUCGGAUUCGCGUCCCUCGAGUCAGGCUUCUGCGGGGGCGAGGACGGAAGGGGUAACGCUGGCGGCGGGGGUGGAGCGGAUGUGGAUGGGAUAGGCGAGGUGGAGGAGGCCACGGCGCGGGCCGAGGCACCCAAGAAGGUGCUGAUCCUAAUGAGGGACACGGGCGGCUUGCACUGAGCGUCCGCCGAGGCCAUCAAGCCCGCAUUCUUCCAGGAAUGCGUACUGCUGCAAGCAGCAUUCAGGGACGACAAGGCGGAGUCGUCGGUGAGGGAUGUGCAAGAGGAGUCGUCCACCACCGCCACGUCGUCGUCCUUGGAAGAGGCGGACCACGCAGGGUCUUGCUCGACUACCAAGUUCGUCCAUCUGGCUGUGGCAUGAUUUCUGUAGAGAUAAGAAUAAAAGUGGCUACAUAUGCUGCUGACAAGAGGAGUCCUACUUGAUGGAAACAAGAAGAUGCAUUCAGGCUACUUGCCUUGUCUAAGUGACUGACAAGGAGUCCUACUUGACGAAAACAAGAAGACACAUUAAGGCGAUUUGCAUUGCCUAAGGAUCACCACCAUCAGAUGUAGCUAAGGAUGGUUUGCCACACCCUCACAGGUUGCGUGGCUCAUCUUCAAGAAUUUAGUCCACUCAAGUACAUAUACAAGUUUAAACUUGCAAUAUCAGAAGCCAAAUCAGCAAUUUCUUCAUCUACAAAUGAGAUCACCGAAGAGGACACUUCUAGCAGUAUUUCAGUACCAGGCACAACACCAACAUGGACUAUAGCAGAAGCUUCUGAGCACACUGAUAAGCAAUCAAGCUACCAGCAGAACAAACUUCUUCCAGUUCAAUCCAAACAAAGACUUGCUCCGGGCCUUUAUUACAAAAAAAAAAGGCAAGAUCAAGACACACCCUAGAACACCAAAAAAAAAAACUUAAUAUAGGUUAGGAACAACACAGCCAUCCUAGGGACUACACAUCCAGCACCGCCUAUCCCUUCCUUAGGUGUGAUAAUGGGUAUUGCUGUUUGAAUAGAAUCCAAUGAAAUCAUAAUUGAUCUUAGAUAAAUAACUCCUAAAGAGUCGUUUAUGUUAAGGUCGGUAUUGUGACGGGUAAAUAUCCGUUUGUGGAGAGAUCACAUUGACACUAUGAUAUGCUAAAGAAUGAAGAGGUAUCAUACCAAGAAUGCCAGAAAAUAUGAUAGGCAGUAGCGCUUCUGUACUAAUAUGUAGUUAUGUAUUAUACAUGAGAACUGAUUGUGAUGUAUCAAUUAUCAUAUACCUACCAACAUUUCCAAUUGUCA